rnacentral:rRNA from 1 species
UAGCGUAUAUUAAAGUUGUUGCGGUUAAAAAGUUCGUAGUUGGAUUUCUGUCGGAGACCUCCGGUCCGUACCAUGUGCGUGUAUCUGUAGGGUUCUGACAUCCUUCCGAAAGACGUCGCUAUGCUUAAUUGCACGGUGCGGAGUUCGGAACUUUUACUUUGAGGAAAUUAGAGUGUUCACGGCAGGCCAACGCCAUGAAUAUAUUAGCAUGGAAUAAUAAUAUAGGAUUUCGGUUCUAUUUUGUUGGUUUCUAGGGCUGAAAUAAUGAUUAAUAGGGACAAUUGGGGGCAUUCGUAUUCAAACGAC